GAUUAUUGCCUAUCUGAGGUCAUCUGAAGCUGUGAAGUAGAGGAUCAAAGGAAACAGUAAUUAAUGUAACUAAAAUAUUUACCUUUAUCCUCUGGAAAGAACUCAAAGCUGUUAAAUCUUCUUAAGCUGAUGCAAAGAAUUCCAGACCCCUUCCCAG